rnacentral:lncRNA from 10 species
CUAAAACAAAAGUGAUUUAGAAAUUAAGAAGUCUGGCCAGGCUCACUCCUGUAAUUUCAGCACUUUGGGAGGCGUGAGCCACUGUGCCCGGCCUAUUCUGACACCAUUUUUAAAAGAAAGUUAAGUUUGUCCCUUCCCAAGCUCCUUCUGUAAAAGGAAAGGCAGAAAAAAGAGCUGGCAUUUAGCACAGCCUGGGCAGAGAGGAGGAAGACUGAGGGAAGGGGGUGGGGCGGCACUGAAAGACAGAAGCGGGAGGAGACCUAGGAACAGAGAGAGGAGGCCCAGGGGCAAAGAGCGGGGUGAGCGAAAGGCUUCAGAAUAACUAAAUAUUCUCUUUAUAGAUUUUUACUUAUAAACAUAUUCUUAGAAAGGUAUUGAUGAAAAAAUAUAUUUUUAACAUAGUCUUCAUUACAUGACCAAAUAGGAAGAAUUCAUAGGGCUGUAAUUUUUAUGAAUAAGAUUUUAUUUAUGCUGUUUCUAUUCAUAGAUGUUUUUCAUACUCAAGGGAACAGGUUUAGAAAUACAUCCUUAUGUCCCUGGCACCUCCCUUCACACAGUCUCUGGCUGCAGAGACAAUCUAAAUGCUCGCUGUGCAAGUUGGCUUUUGGAGAGUUGGGUGGGGCUGAGGAUCAGGCCCUCAUUUGUAUCUCAUCUGCAUAACCCCCUUCAGGACAGGAGGCAGGUGGGCCUGGUCUUCCCACCAGCUCCUUGAGAAGCUAUGACCUCUCCCCACACUCAAUAAACCCUCCCUGGGCUGGAAACAUCCCAAUUUAGGCUGGAUCAAAGCCACCCUUAUUCCCCUGAAAGAUACAAGCACACACAAUCGAACUUGUAUACACACUCGGUACACACAGGCACAAACAGGAGCGCUCACAUACACCUGAGUGCAUAUAGGGACACAUAUGCUCACAUGCUCCAUACACUUGGGCUCGAAUAUGUGCACGUGUGACACAUUCAGUUAACUCAUUCAUCAUUCCACAAAUAUAUCCUCAUCAAGCACUGCUGUGUAGUGGUUCACAGCAAGGACUCUGUAGUCAGUGGCCUGGGUUCAAAUCCCAGCUCCGCUACUUACA